UACGAAGGGGGCUAGCGUUGUUCGGAAUUACUGGGCGUAAAGCGCACGUAGGCGGGUUGUUAAGUCAGGGGUGAAAUCCUGGAGCUCAACUCCAGAACUGCCUUUGAUACUGGGGAUCUCGAGUCCGGAAGAGGUUGGUGGAACUGCGAGUGUAGAGGUGAAAUUCGUAGAUAUUCGCAAGAACACCAGUGGCGAAGGCGGCCAACUGGUCCGGUACUGACGCUGAGGUGGCGAAAGCGUGGGGAGCCAAACAGGG
rnacentral:rRNA from 1 species